UGGCAGGGUCGAAUCGAUGUCUAUCGGUGAAAAUCAAUUAGCAGGAAUAUUUUUCCCCACCUGGAUACAACCUUAAUAGAAGAAUCCAUGAGGAACCUGGGGAUGUGUUUAAAAAAUAGCGGCCUAGGAGGAGCAUUAUGAUUCACUUAUCCAAAUGUAAAUGAGAAGCCAUGGACGUCUGCUCCUUUGGGAAUCUCCACCCCUUUGAAAAGAAAAUAGAGGUUAAAAAUCUGCUAAACGAGUUAGCAGCAACCAGGAUCCCUCUCUUCCACAGGCCUGGGACCAGUGUUGAACCUGGCCACUGAAAUAACUUGUCGACCAAAGUAUGGUGGUGGACUGGUAGCUGGAG